UAUUUUUUUAAACUAAAUUUAGGCUGGC
rnacentral:piRNA from 1 species